UGAGUACGAGAUGCUACGGCAUCGAAGCAGUCUAUGUCAUACUUCCAAGAAAAGCUUGCAAUGUCAUAAACAAAUAAUGCCUGUACCAUAACCGACACAGGUGGGUAGGUAGAGUAUACUAAGGGGCGCGAGAUAACUCUCUCUAAGGAACUCGGCAAAAUGACUCCGUAACUUCGGGAGAAGGAGUGCCUUAUUUUUAUAAGGUUGCAAUAACAAGAUCCAAGCAACUGUUUACCAAAAACACAGGUCUCCGCUAAGUCGUAAGACGAUGUAUGGGGGCUGACGCCUGCCCAGUGCCAGAAGGUUAAAGAAGUUGGUUAGCAUUAGCGAAGCUGAUAACUGAAGCCCUGGUGAACGGCGGCCGUAACUAUAACGGUCCUAAGGUAGCGAAAUUCCUUGUCGGGUAAGUUCCGACCCGCACGAAAGGCGUAAUGAUUUGGAUACUGUCUCGGAGAGGGGCUCGGUGAAAUAGACUUGUCUGUGAAGAUGCGGACUACCUGCACCUGGACAGAAAGACCCUAUGAAGCUUUACUGUAACUUGAGAUUGAAAUUGGACUUUAUCUGCGCAGUAUAGGUGGGAGACGUUGAAAAUAUUCUUGCGGGAAUAUUGGAGUCAUCAGUGAGAUACCACUCUUAUAAUGUUAGAUUUCUAACUUUGUAUCAUUAUCUGGUCAAAGAACAGUUUCAGGCGGGCAGUUUGACUGGGGCGGUCGCCUCCCAAACGGUAACGGAGGCGCACAAAGGUUUCCUCUGAACGUGUAGAAAUCGUAUCUAGAGUGUAAAGGCAUAAGGAAGCUUGACUGUGAGACCUACAAGUCGAGCAGGGACGAAAGUCGGUCUUAGUGAUCUGACGGUGCUGAGUGGAAAGGCCGUCACUCAACGGAUAAAAGUUACUCUAUGGAUAACAGGCUGAUCUCCCCCAAGAGUUCACAUCGACGGGGAGGUUUGGCACCUCGAUGUCGGCUCAUCGCAUCCUGGGGCGGUAGUACGUCCCAAGGGUUGGGCUGUUCGCCCAUGAAAGCGGUACGCGAGCUGGGUUCAGAACGUCGUGAGACAGUUCGGUCCAUAUCCGGUGUAGGCGUUAGAAUAUUGAGAGGAGCCUUCUUUAGUACGAGAGGACCGAGAAGGACAUACCUCUGGUGUACCAGUUAUCGUGCCAACGGUAAACGCUGGGUAGCCAUGUAUGGAGAGGAUAACCGCUGAAAGCAUCUAAGUGGGAAGCCCACCUCAAGAUAAGUAUUCGC
rnacentral:rRNA from 1 species